rnacentral:rRNA from 1 species
UACGAAGGGGGCUAGCGUUGCUCGGAAUCACUGGGCGUAAAGCGCACGUAGGCGGCUUUUUAAGUCAGGGGUGAGAUCCUGGAGCUCAACUCCAGAACUGCCUUUGAUACUGAGAAGCUUGAGUCCGGGAGAGGUGAGUGGAACUGCGAGUGUAGAGGUGAAAUUCGUAGAUAUUCGCAAGAACACCAGUGGCGAAGGCGGCUCACUGGCCCGGUACUGACGCUGAGGUGCGAAAGCGUGGGGAGCAAACAGG